GAUGAACGCUGGCGGCGUGCCUAACACAUGCAAGUCGAGCGAACAGACGAGGAGCUUGCUCCUCCGACGUUAACGGCGGAUGGGUGAGUAACAAGAGGAUAAACUACCUCGUAGACUGGCUUACUCUUGGGAAACCGUAGCUAAUACAGGACAAUAUAUUUAACAGCAUGGUCCAUUAGUGAAAGACGGAUUUAUGGUAAAUCUUCGAUGGAACCGCGCCGCAUCAGCUACUUGGUAAGGUAUCGGCUUACCAAGGCAACGAAGCGUAGCCGACCUGAGAGGGUGAUCGGCCACACUGGAACUGAGACACGGUCCAGACUCCUACGGGAGGCAGCAGUAGGGAAUCUUCCGCAAUGGGCGAAAGCCUGACGGAGCAACGCCGCGUGAGUGAUGAUGGUCUUCGGAUCGUAAAACUCUGUUAUUAGGGAAGAACAAAUGUGUAAGUAACUAUGCACGUCUUGACGGUACCUAAUCAGAAAGCCACGGCUAACUACGUG
rnacentral:rRNA from 1 species